UACGAAGGGGGCUAGCGUUGCUCGGAAUUACUGGGCGUAAAGCGCACGUAGGCGGCUUUCUAAGUCGGGGGUGAAAUCCUGGAGCUCAACUCCAGAACUGCCUUCGAUACUGGAGAGCUUGAGUCCGGGAGAGGUGAGUGGAACUGCGAGUGUAGAGGUGAAAUUCGUAGAUAUUCGCAAGAACACCAGUGGCGAAGGCGGCUCACUGGCCCGGUACUGACGCUGAGGUGCGAAAGCGUGGGGAGCAAACAGGAUUGAG
rnacentral:rRNA from 1 species